UACGUAGGUGACCAGCGUUGUCCGGAUUUACUGGGCGUAAAGAGCGCGCAGGCGGUCGUUCAAGUCGAGUGUGAAAGCCCCCCGGCUCAACUGGGGAGGGUCAUUCGAUACUGAUCGACUCGAAGGCAGGAGAGGGAAGCGGAAUUCCCGGUGUAGUGGUGAAAUGCGUAGAUAUCGGGAGGAACACCAGUGGCGAAGGCGGCGUCUGGGAAGAUACUGGACGCUGAGGUGGCGAAAAGCGUGGGGGAGCAAACAGG
rnacentral:rRNA from 1 species